rnacentral:rRNA from 1 species
AGAGUUUGAUUAUGGCUCAGAACGAACGCUGGUGGCGUGUCUUAUACAUGCAAGUCGAGCGAGGCAGCAAUGCCGAGCGGCGAACGGGUGAGUAACGCGUAAGCAAUCUGCCCCAUAUCAGGAAAUACCCGUGCCAACGCGCGGUUAAUGUCCAGGAGAGUGGCCCUCCGCAUGGAGGGUUGACUAGAGAUUUAUCGGUAUGGGAUGAGCUUGCGUCCGAUUAGCUAGUUGGCGGGGCAACGGCCCACCAAGGCGACGAUCGGUAGCCGGCCUGAGAGGGUGAUCGGCCACAUUGGGACUGAGAUACGGCCCAGACUCCUACGGGAGGCAGCAGUAGGGAAUAUUGCACAAUGGGGGAAACCCUGAUGCAGCAACGCCACGUGUGGGAAGAAGCAUUUCGGUGUGUAAACCACUGUCAUGAGGGAAUAAGGCCCGCCUUCGGACGGGAUUGAAUGUACCUUGAAAGGAAGCACCGGCAAACUUCGUGCCAGCCGCAGC